rnacentral:lncRNA from 1 species
UUUGAUGAUUUUAUGGCGGAGAAGGAAGCUGUAUCUUCAAAAUGUGUCAAUUUGGCUAAAGAGAUUCAAGUUUUUCAACAGGAGUUAUUAUCUAUGAAAAAAGUACAACAGGAAUGUGAAAAACUUGAGGAGGAUAAAAAGAUGUUGGAAGAAGAAAUAUUAAAUCUUAAGACACAUAUGGAAAACAGUAUGGUAGAACUUAGUAAACUACAAGAAUAUAAAUCAGAGCUAGAUGAAAGGGCAAUGCAGGCAGUAGAAAAAUUAGAAGAAAUCCAUUUACAGAUCGAAUAAGAAAAUAGCAAUGAUCAGUAUCAGCUCUUUAUGGAGAAAGAGCAGGUGAAAUAUUUUCUCAGCACUCUUCCUACAAGGCGAGGUCGAGAGUCACCUUGUGUUGAAAAUCUUACUAGUAUAGGACUCAACAGAAAAUAUAUUCCCCAAAUGCCCGUAAGAAUUCCUACUUCAAACCUCAGACUUCAAAUAACUGCCAGAACUACUUGACUGAGGUUAGUUAUAUGACCGUUUCUCUUUAGGGUUUCAUUUCUCUAGCGUAAUUCUUGUUUAUAAUUUGGUGAAAUACUGAGUUGUUCUGUUGACUUUUGCAUGUGAAGUAAAGAUCAUAAUUAGCUGUGUUAACACAGAAAGGAAAUGGGAACUUUACAUUUUUUAAUUCCCUGGAGCUCUCAUUUUCAAGAGAUAUCCAUUUGCUAACUUUAUUCAAUAAAU